AAAGUGUCCAUUGUAUAGUGGCUCAACUGUAUGACAUUUUUUCUCUCUUUUCCUUGUAGGGUGAAUUAGUUCGUUGCUGGUCCAUUAAUUGCUGUAAUUAUAUUUAUUAUCACUGGAGUCCUCUCAAUGCUUAUCCUAUUAUUAUUGCAUGGGAAUAUUACCAGAAGAACAUGAAUAAUUCAUUUGUUACGUAUGAUUUGGAAAAUGAAAGACUACUGAUAUCAGAGAGUUAAUAAAGACAUUCUUGAGACAAUCGGAUCAUGUGAUCAAUUAAUGACUGUGUCUAGGUUAGUCGUGAUCCCUACCUACAAGAACCUCCUCAGCUGAAACUGUGUUUAUGGACUUGGGUGUGAUUAUCACCAGCACACGGAAGCAACAAUUUGCAGCAAAGAGCUCUGAUGUAGAGGCCCAUACAAGAAGCUAAUGAAUAGAGAAUGAGUCACUAUUGGUG